rnacentral:rRNA from 1 species
AUGAACGCUGGCGGCGUGCCUAAUACAUGCAAGUCGAGCGAACAGACGAGGAGCUUGCCCCUCUGACGUUAGCGGCGGACGGGUGAGUAACACGUGGAUAACCUACCUAUAAGACUGGGAUAACUUCGGGAAACCGGAGCUAAUACCGGAUAAUAUAUUGAACCGCAUGGUUCAAUAGUGAAAGACGGUUUUGCUGUCACUUAUAGAUGGAUCCGCGCCGCAUUAGCUAGUUGGUAAGGUAACGGCUUACCAAGGCGACGAUGCGUAGCCGACCUGAGAGGGUGAUCGGCCACACUGGAACUGAGACACGGUCCAGACUCCUACGGGAGGCAGCAGUAGGGAAUCUUCCGCAAUGGGCGAAAGCCUGACGGAGCAACGCCGCGUGAGUGAUGAAGGUCUUCGGAUCGUAAAACUCUGUUAUUAGGGAAGAACAAAUGUGUAAGUAACUAUGCACGUCUUGACGGUACCUAAUCAGAAAGCCACGGCUAACUACGUG